AAGUCGUAACAAGGUUUCCGUAGGUGAACCUGCGGAAGGAUCAUUAAACACAGUAGUUUUCUACUGAUUUUGGGGGAGUGGAAAGUCUCAGUUUUAUCGCUGAACCACGAGUAAGCUCCCUUUCUCCAUCCUUGUCUUUUGAGUACUUAUGUUUCCUUGGUGGGCUCGCCCACCAACCGGACAAUCAUACAACCUUUUUAAUUUUCAUUCAGCGUCUAAAUAAUUAUAAUAAUUACAACUUUCAACAACGGAUCUCUUGGUUCUG
rnacentral:misc_RNA from 1 species